UGGGGAAUAUUGGACAAUGGGCGCAAGCCUGAUCCAGCAAUGCCGCGUGAGUGAUGAAGGCCCUAGGGUUGUAAAGCUCUUUUACCCGGGAUGAUAAUGACAGUACCGGGAGAAUAAGCCCCGGCUAACUCCGUGCCAGCAGCCGCGGUAAUACGGAGGGGGCUAGCGUUGUUCGGAAUUACUGGGCGUAAAGCGCACGUAGGCGGCUUUGUAAGUUAGAGGUGAAAGCCCGGAGCUCAACUCCGGAAUUGCCUUUAAGACUGCAUCGCUAGAAUCGUGGAGAGGUGAGUGGAAUUCCGAGUGUAGAGGUGAAAUUCGUAGAUAUUCGGAAGAACACCAGUGGCGAAGGCGACUCACUGGACACGUAUUGACGCUGAGGUGCGAAAGCGUGGGGAGCAAACA
rnacentral:rRNA from 1 species